rnacentral:lncRNA from 1 species
UUUUUGUGUUAUUAUGUCACCCGAUCGACAAUGUCGGGUGACAUAUUGCUUUUCCUCUGUUUCUUUUUCUGUAUUAUUAUUAUUAUUAUACUUCCACCUAUUUUGUCCGGCAGGUUUUUUGGAGUUAAAUGGAACCAAUCUUAAUGAUAGUUCACUAUAAGGUGGAACAAAAAAUUUCGGGGUGCAGGUGGGUCUAAGACCAUAAAAAAUGGCUGCCGUUUCCAUGGAAACAGAAUAAUUGUGAAAAAUUCCAGUUUUUGGUUUUGGUGAAUAAUUUGGAGAUUCUUAAACUCAGAAUCAUUUUAUUUUGAUACAAUGUAGGUGCCAGCCAUAUACUGGUUUUGGAUGAUUUUGGCAAUCAUUUGAACUACUAUGUUGCCAUGGAAACUGCACCAAAAAUUUCAAAAAUAUCAAAAUGCUCCAAAUUUUUUGAAACUUCAUGGUAACGAUGAGCAACAUUGGUAGAUGUGGAAUUUGGCGUUGGAAUUUCCAAAAUGUC